UGGUAGGGGGGGCGGGGAAGCGGGUGUGGGUGUGGGUGUGUGUGUAUGUGUGGAAAGAAAUGAUUUAUCUAUUGAAAGUCUAAAACAGUUGAUGUAGCGAUCAGGGCAUUGAUUUUGCUUUUUCCCUAGAUAAGACUGUGGCUGAGCUGAUACCAUUCGAUUACAGAAUAAAGAACGAAUUUUCUGUAAAAAAUUUUCUUAACUGGAAGUUCACAGGCUGUUAGUGUAAGCUCACCAAUGGAGAUACAAGCCUUGAAUAUAAAGGAGAGUGACACAGCAAGAAUUCCCCCUCUUGGAUCAGUGAUCCAAACCCAUGGAACCAAACCUACAAUAUGUCUAAGCUAUACCCGUACUACUAUUUAUGGAGAAAAAACAGGACAAUUGUCAGUGCAUACGUGCAUGUGGAUGUAACUGGAAGUGUACACACAGACUCUCCAUAUGUAUUUGUUUGUCUUUGUGUAAAGUAUCUUUGGAUGCUGAUUACACUGGAUUCUCCAAGCUAAGGGAAUGAUGGAUAACUAGGUGACAAAUUUGGGAUAAAAACCUUUCACACGUACACUUUUGUGACUAUUGGAUUUUUAACCACAGUGCUGUAAGUAAGCCAACAUUUUUAAAAUAUUGAAAAAAAAUUAGUCAGUAUAUGAUGGAAUUUCUACAUUGAUUUUGAGGUUUGAGUUGGCUAGUUCUUUGAUAUCCUAGUUAAGCAUCAUUGUAGGAAGCAUUUCCUGACACUGCUGCUAGGGAGAAAUAAUACGUGCCUUCUUCCAUGGCACUUUGAAUAUCAUUCUGUUAUCACCUUUUAAAUAUUGUAUUAUAGUUAGCUAUGUAUAAUUUUGUCUCCUCUAUUAGAGUGUGAGGGCCUCUGUAGGACAGAGAUAGAUAGAUAUUCAUAGAUGCAUUUAUUCAUUCACUUAUUAAGUGAGUACUAGACAAGGUGUUUAUUCAACCACGUAUCUUUAGUACCUGGCCUGGUCACUGAUAUAUAAGAAUUCAAUGCACUGCUUUUGAAUGAAUGUAUGAAUAAAUGAAUAAUGUUGAGUUCAGCAAUUUAUGAUAAGAUUCAGGAUGAUAGCUCCACCAAAUCAGUAUUGUUCAUAAUCCUGAGGACUUUCAAAAAAUACCAACUCUUCUUGCCUCAAAAAUUAAGCUGCAAUUAUGUUGAACACAAAUUUCAAGUAUUUGUUAAAAAAAACUCUUAAUCUACCUGUAGACAGAUUAAAUAUAUUCAUCCAGACACGAAGGAGACCCUAAAGUGUCUUCAAAUAAUAUUUCAUUACUUUCCUUCCUGGUAUAUUUGCAAAUACCAUGAUUAAAUCUAACAGAAUAAACUGACAUAAGCAAUUACCAUUUUUAGUGCAAAAUAUUUUAUAAUUACAAGUAUCAUGCAUAACUUGGGCAAAAUCUUUCCCACAAUAACUCUGGGAAAUAAGAGAUUUUGAUAGAGAUAACCAGAUAAAUGCAGCAUGAUUCCUACCAAGUCAAACAACAUGUCAACAGCAUUACUGGAUUGAACACAAAUGGAUCUGUGCUCUAAAGCCACGGUUUAACCUGUUUCCUCUCUCAAAUUAAAAAACAUCUUUAGGCUGAAACAGAAGAGGUAGUAGAAGAAUAUUGGUAAUCUCCAACCCAAACACCUCUGAUAAGAGAGGAUAUGGUGCUGGAAGUACUGAGUCCAAUCCUAAGUGACACACACAAAGGUAGGGACUGACUACCUGGGUGGUGAUGGAUAUUUUGCUUGAAAACCAUGAUUGUAAGUGGCUUUUCACAGAAUUCCUGGGAUCUAUGAAAAAGAAGAUUUGUUAAAACAUUGACUUCCUGAAGGAGUCAAAUGGUCUCGCAGCUUCCUUUGCAGAACUCUGUAUUCACCACUGUAUCUUACUGCAGUUUCAUGGAUUUACUCCUCCAUCCCCACCCCACCUCCCCUGAGAGUGCUUCUCAAGAAUAUAUAUUAUCAUUUUUUGUUUUUAAUCCCCAGUGGUUUGCCUAGUGCUAUGCAGAAAAUAGGACUUAAUAAAUAUGCAGACGAAAUAAUACAGUUCUUAUUCAAAGUCAGUAUGAUAUAGUAGAAAGUGGUCUACUCUUGGCUCUGUCCCUAAGAAGCAGAUUCAUCUAACACAUGUCACAGUAAAUCCAGUUUCAAUCUACUCUUCUAAAAAAUGAGUGGGUCAAUAGUUGACUUCUAGUAAUAUUUUUGGUUUUAAAGUUCUAUGAUUUUAUGUAAGUGUGACUAUUGGAGUGAGAGAGAGGCAGGGUCAUGACAGAUCAAUAAAGAAAUAAAAUCUAAAACAGUAA